AGUGAAGAGGUAGGUGACUGCAUGUUUUGUAUGAUUGCAGAGACUGGAAACACAUCUGUAGCCACAUAUAUGUAUAGCUACAUGCAGCCCUAAUAGGAUGACUCUAAAUCCUUCAAACCUUUGCCUUUUGCUGGAUCAAAAUGAAGAUCUAUUGUGCUGAAUGCCUGUAGCUGGAAGUGUGUUUCUGUGCUGCAUAUUAAUCACCAAGGUGUAAAGACUUGAAUGCCAAUAGGCACAUGUGUUGUUUGGUGUUAUAGCACUCAGGUAUGAAUCUGCCCCUGGGAUCCUGAUGCUUUUCCAGUGUACACUUGAUGUACUGGGAAUACGGACCAUUCCACAUUCGUAUCUGGGUAUUUCUGUGCCUUCACCUGAUUGAAUACACAGGAGCCUGUGGUACAAUUCAGAGAAGAGCAAUAUUCCCUGUCUCAAUCCAGAUUGGCAGUGCUAAGAAAACGCUGGAGUAUCCAGAGCCCACAGUUUGCCUGUGUCUGCAGCUGAUGAGAGCAGAUAUCACUAAGAUGACAUCCGUGUCACAAACAAUUCCUCUGGUCCUGCAUAAAUCAUUGGUCAGAGGAGGGACUUUGACUAUGACUCUCAGCAUGCUGGCAUGCUUUCAGCUCAGCCAGAUACAUGAGCCAAGCAGGAAUUAUCAGGCAUUCCAUAGGUACAGGCAGUUCAAUCACAGGAGUUCAGUCAUGAGAAAAGGACAUGCAAUAAAGAGAGAAUAAACAAACAGUGAUGUAUGAGGGAACUGAAGGAAGAAUAGACAUGAACUCAACCCCAUUGUUUGCUUUCCUUUGUGCUUUUUCCACCUGGAUACAGAGGAAUGUGUGCCAACAGAGCUGAUGGGA